rnacentral:rRNA from 1 species
AUUGAACGCUGGCGGCAGGCCUAACACAUGCAAGUCGAACGAGUGGCGGACGGGUGAGUAAUGUCUGGGAAACUGCCCGAUGGAGGGGGAUAACUACUGGAAACGGUAGAUAAUACCGCAUACCAUCGGAUGUGCCCAGAUGGGAUUAGCUAGUAGGUGGGGUAACGGCUAACCUAGGCGACGAUCCCUAGCUGGUCUGAGAGGAGGACCAGCCACAUUGGAACGGAUACACGGUCCAGACUCCUACGUGAGGCCGAAGUGGGGAAUAUUGCACAAUGGGCGCAAGCCUGAUACAUCCAUUCCGCGUGUAUGAAGAAGGCCUUCGGGUUGUAAAGUACUUUCAGCGAGGAGGCGUUACUCGCAGAGGAAGCACCGGCUAACUCCGUGCCAGCAGCCGCGGUAAUUC